AAGGAUGAAUCGACAAGGCCGGGACUUUACCGUUACUUCGUCGUCGGAAGGGAUCGCGGCAAGGCUGAUCGCCGUUGGUGCAGCGGCGGGGACGACGGGAAAGCAGCGGUACGCAGCAGCCGGGUCACAGAACAGCAAAGGGCGGCGCCAAUGAAGGGGCUCGGCCGUAGGAGGGUCCUAAAGCUUUCUCUUCACUCGCUAUGCUCCCC
rnacentral:lncRNA from 1 species